rnacentral:rRNA from 1 species
GAAGGUCAGAAUUGUGGGUUUGUUCAGUGGGUUGAUGAGCAGUGGCCCCCAACAAUGGAGAAUGCAUUGUUGAAGCUUUGGUCAAUGGUUGAAGAGAGCAAGUCUGCUAGGGUGAAUGAUAAUCUUGAAAGUGCUUUAGCUAUUCACCAUUUGACAGAAGAAAAGAACAAGCUGGAUGCAGACUAUGACAAGUUAGUGAAAGAUGUGCAUCAACUUGUGGACUUUCAGGAGGAGAGGGUUGUGGAUUUCAGUUAUCUGCAGUCCACCAUCACAUAUCAGCACCAAUGCAGAGCUGAAUUGGUGGCUGGUAUGAAGGCAGAAAUGGCAAAGAAAGAUGCAGUUACAAAGAAGCUUCAACAGAAGUAUGAACUCCUGUGCAACCUGACAAGUGCUCAAGCAACUGUCAUCCAGAACCUGAAGUUGAAGAAUAUUAAAGAGAAGGAAUUGCUUAGUGAGGCUAGGAUGAAUUUGGAGUUGAAGAAUGAAGAGUUCACAAAGUUUGAGGAGAAGCUCACCCAAGAGAAGCUAGAGUUGAAGUUUCAGGUUGCUGAUCUGCUGAAACUCAAGGAAAACAAUGAUGAAGAGAAGUACAUCCUACAGCUUAAGAUUUGUGAGCUCAUGAAGGCAGAGGAGAAGCUUAAGGAGAAGAUCAAGGGGAUCCAGGCCAUCUUACAGAACUGA